UACGGAGGGUGCGAGCGUUAAUCGGAAUUACUGGGCGUAAAGCGCACGCAGGCGGCUUGUUAAGCCAGAUGUGAAAGCCCCGGGCUCAACCUGGGAGGGUCAUUUGGAACUGGCAAGCUAGAGUCUUGGAGAGGGGAGUGGAAUUCCAGGUGUAGCGGUGAAAUGCGUAGAGAUCUGGAGGAACAUCAGUGGCGAAGGCGGCUCCCUGGCCAAAGACUGACGCUCAUGUGCGAAAGUGUGGGUAGCGAACAGG
rnacentral:rRNA from 1 species